AACGAACGCUGGCGGCAGGCCUAACACAUGCAAGUCGAGCGCCCCGCAAGGGGAGCGGCGGACGGGUGAGUAACGCGUGGGAAUAUGCCCUUUGCUACGGAAUAGUCUCGGGAAACUGGGGGUAAUACCGUAUACGCCCUUUGGGGGAAAGAUUUAUCGGCGAAGGAUUAGCCCGCGUUGGAUUAGGUAGUUGGUGGGGUAAUGGCCUACCAAGCCGACGAUCCAUAGCUGGUUUGAGAGGAUGAUCAGCCACACUGGGACUGAGAUACGGCCCAGACUCCUACGGGAGGCAGCAGUGGGGAAUCUUAGACAAUGGGGGCAACCCUGAUCUAGCCAUGCCGCGUGAGUGAUGAAGGCCUUAGGGUUGUAAAGCUCUUUCAGCUGGGAAGAUAAUGACGGUACCAGCAGAAGAAGCCCCGGCUAACUCCGUG
rnacentral:rRNA from 1 species